AUACGGAGGGUGCGAACGUUAAUCGGAAUUACUGGGCGUAAAGCGCGCGUAGGCGGUUUGGUCAGUCGGAUGUGAAAGCCCCAGGCUCAACCUGGGAAUGGCAUUCGAUACUGCCUGACUAGAGUAUGGUAGAGGGAAGUGGAAUUUCCGGUGUAGCGGUGAAAUGCGUAGAUAUCGGAAGGAACACCAGUGGCGAAGGCGACUUCCUGGGCCAAUACUGACGCUAAGGUGCGAAAGCGUGGGGAGCAAACAGGAUUAGAAACCCCGGUAGUCC
rnacentral:rRNA from 1 species